AGUAGCCGCGGUAAUACGGAGGGUGCAAGCGUUAAUCGGAAUUACUGGGCGUAAAGCGCACGCAGGCGGUCUGACAAGUCAGAUGUGAAAUCCCCGGGCUUAACCUGGGAACUGCAUUUGAAACUGUCAGGCUGGAGUCUUGUAGAGGGGGGUGGAAUUCCAGGUGUAGCGGUGAAAUGCGUAGAGAUCUGGAGGAAUACCGGUGGCGAAGGCGGCCCCCUGGACAAAGACUGACGCUCAGGUGCGAAAGCGUGGGGAGCAAACAGGAUUAGAUACCCGCGUAGUCCCUGUCUCUUAUACA
rnacentral:rRNA from 1 species